rnacentral:rRNA from 1 species
CUGGAACGCGCUCGGCGCACCCAGAAACCCUUUGUGAACUUAUACCUUACUGUUGCCUCGGCGCAGGCCGGCCUUUCUUCUGAGGCCCCCCGGAGACGGGGAGCAGCCCGCCGGCGGCCAACCAAACUCUUGUUUCUUAGUGAAUCUCUGAGUAAAAAACAUAAAUAAAUCAAAACUUUCAACAACGGAUCUCUUGGUUCUGGCAUCGAUGAAGAACGCAGCGAAAUGCGAUAAGUAAUGUGAAUUGCAGAAUUCAGUGAAUCAUCGAAUCUUUGAACGCACAUUGCGCCCUCUGGUAUUCCGGAGGGCAUGCCUGUUCGAGCGUCAUUUCAACCCUCAAGCCUGGCUUGGUGUUGGGGCACUGCCUGUAAAAGGGCAGGCCCUGAAAUCUAGUGGCGAGCUCGCUAGGACCCCGAGCGUAGUAGUUAUAUCUCGUUCUGGAAGGCCCUGGCGGCGCCCUGCCGUUAAACCCCCAACUUCUGAAAUUUUGACCUCG